rnacentral:rRNA from 1 species
GGAUCAGUGGCGAACGGGUGAGUAACACGUGAGCAACCUGCCCCUGACUCUGGGAUAAGCGCUGGAAACGGCGUCUAAUACUGGAUAUGUGACGUGACCGCAUGGUCUGCGUUUGGAAAGAUUUUUCGGUUGGGGAUGGGCUCGCGGCCUAUCAGCUUGUUGGUGAGGUAAUGGCUCACCAAGGCGUCGACGGGUAGCCGGCCUGAGAGGGUGACCGGCCACACUGGGACUGAGACACGGCCCAGACUCCUACGGGAGGCAGCAGUGGGGAAUAUUGCACAAUGGGCGAAAGCCUGAUGCAGCAACGCCGCGUGAGGGAUGACGGCCUUCGGGUUGUAAACCUCUUUUAGCAGGGAAGAAGCGAAAGUGACGGUACCUGCAGAAAAAGCGCCGGCUAACUACGUGCCAGCAGCCGCGGUAAUACGUAGGGCGCAAGCGUUAUCCGGAAUUAUUGGGCGUAAAGAGCUCGUAGGCGGUUUGUCGCGUCUGCUGUGAAAUCCCGAGGCUCAACCUCGGGCCUGCAGUGGGUACGGGCAGACUAGAGUGCGGUAGGGGAGAUUGGAAUUCCUGGUGUAGCGGUGGAAUGCGCAGAUAUCAGGAGGAACACCGAUGGCGAAGGCAGAUCUCUGGGCCGUAACUGACGCUGAGGAGCGAAAGGGUGGGGAGCAAACAGGCUUAGAUACCCUGGUAGUCCACCCCGUAAACGUUGGGAACUAGUUGUGGGGUCCAUUCCACGGAUUCCGUGACGCAGCUAACGCAUUAAGUUCCCCGCCUGGGGAGUACGGCCGCAAGGCUAAAACUCAAAGGAAUUGACGGGGACCCGCACAAGCGGCGGAGCAUGCGGAUUAAUUCGAUGCAACGCGAAGAACCUUACCAAGGCUUGACAUAUACGAGAACGGGCCAGAAAUGGUCAACUCUUUGGACACUCGUAAACAGGUGGUGCAUGGUUGUCGUCAGCUCGUGUCGUGAGAUGUUGGGUUAAGUCCCGCAACGAGCGCAACCCUCGUUCUAUGUUGCCAGCACGUAAUGGUGGGAACUCAUGGGAUACUGCCGGGGUCAACUCGGAGGAAGGUGGGGAUGACGUCAAAUCAUCAUGCCCCUUAUGUCUUGGGCUUCACGCAUGCUACAAUGGCCGGUACAAAGGGCUGCAAUACCGUGAGGUGGAGCGAAUCCCAAAAAGCCGGUCCCAGUUCGGAUUGAGGUCUGCAACUCGACCUCAUGAAGUCGGAGUCGCUAGUAAUCGCAGAUCAGCAACGCUGCGGUGAAUACGUUCCCGGGUCUUGUACACAC